rnacentral:rRNA from 1 species
GACGAACGCUGGCGGCGUGCUUAACACAUGCAAGUCGAACGAAGAGCGACGGAAGCUUGCUUCUAUCAAUCUUAGUGGCGAACGUGUGAGUAACGCGUAAUCAACCUGCCCUUCAGAGGGGGACAACAGUUGGAAACGACUGCUAAUACCGCAUACGAUCUAACCUCGGCAUCGAGGAUAGAUGAAAGGUGGCCUCUACAUGUAAGCUAUCACUGAAGGAGGGGAUUGCGUCUGAUUAGCUAGUUGGAGGGGUAACGGCCCACCAAGGCGAUGAUCAGUAGCCGGUCUGAGAGGAUGAACGGCCACAUUGGGACUGAGACACGGCCCAGACUCCUACGGGAGGCAGCAGUGGGGAAUCUUCCGCAAUGGACGAAAGUCUGACGGAGCAACGCCGCGUGAGUGAUGACGGCCUUCGGGUUGUAAAGCUCUGUUAAUCGGGAGGAAAGGCCUUCUUGCGAAUAGUGAGAAGGAUUGACGGUACCGGAAUAGAAAGCCACGGCUAACUACGUG